GUACACAAAAAUGCACAUGCUGUGAGCUCGAUGAGUAGGGCGGGACACGUGGUAUCCUGUCUGAAUAUGGGGGGACCAUCCUCCAAGGCUAAAUACUCCUGACUGACCGAUAGUGAACCAGUACCGUGAGGGAAAGGCGAAAAGAACCCCGGCGAGGGGAGUGAAAAAGAACCUGAAACCGUGUACGUACAAGCAGUGGGAGCACGCUUAGGCGUGUGACUGCGUACCUUUUGUAUAAUGGGUCAGCGACUUAUAUUCUGUAGCAAGGUUAACCGAAUAGGGGAGCCGAAGGGAAACCGAGUCUUAACUGGGCGUUAAGUUGCAGGGUAUAGACCCGAAACCCGGUGAUCUAGCCAUGGGCAGGUUGAAGGUUGGGUAACACUAACUGGAGGACCGAACCGACUAAUGUUGAAAAAUUAGCGGAUGACUUGUGGCUGGGGGUGAAAGGCCAAUCAAACCGGGAGAUAGCUGGUUCUCCCCGAAAGCUAUUUAGGUAGCGCCUCGUGAAUUCAUCUCCGGGGGUAGAGCACUGUUUCGGCAAGGGGGUCAUCCCGACUUACCAACCCGAUGCAAACUGCGAAUACCGGAGAAUGUUAUCACGGGAGACACACGGCGGGUGCUAACGUCCGUCGUGAAGAGGGAAACAACCCAGACCGCCAGCUAAGGUCCCAAAGUCAUGGUUAAGUGGGAAACGAUGUGGGAAGGCCCAGACAGCCAGGAUGUUGGCUUAGAAGCAGCCAUCAUUUAAAGAAAGCGUAAUAGCUCACUGGUCGAGUCGGCCUGCGCGGAAGAUGUAACGGGGCUAAACCAUGCACCGAAGCUGCGGCAGCGACGCUGAUGCGUUGUUGGGUAGGGGAGCGUUCUGUAAGCCUG
rnacentral:rRNA from 1 species